rnacentral:lncRNA from 1 species
ACCUUUAAUUUAUAGAAAAGAUUUUAUUGAAAUUUUUUAUUUCUUUUGGUUUGGCAAUCAUCAAAAAAAUUAUCAAAUUUAUUGGUAAACAUUUCCACCAUCUUUCUUGUCCUAGAUUUCUACUAAGGUUUGCCUACCAAAAACAUGUAAGGUGGUCUGAAUAUACAAAAAUUUCAAUCACCAAUAAUAAGUUAACAAAUCAAA